UACAGGGGGGGCAAGCGUUGCUCGGAAUUACUGGGCGUAAAGGGCUCGUAGGCGGCCCACUAAGUCCGACGUGAAAUCCCAAGGCUUAACCUUGGAACUGCGUCGGAUACUGGUUGGCUUGAAUUCGGGAGAGGGAUGCAGAAUUCCAGGUGUAGCGGUGAAAUGCGUAGAUAUCUGGAGGAAUACCGGUGGCGAAGGCGGCAUCCUGGACCGACAUUGACGCUGAUGAGCGAAAGCUAGGGGAGCAAACGGG
rnacentral:rRNA from 1 species